rnacentral:rRNA from 1 species
UACGUAGGUGGCAAGCGUUGUCCGGAUUUACUGGGUGUAAAGGGCGUGCAGCCGGAGAGACAAGUCAGAUGUGAAAUCCACGGGCUCAACCCGUGAACUGCAUUUGAAACUGUUUCCCUUGAGUGUCGGAGAGGUAAUCGGAAUUCCUUGUGUAGCGGUGAAAUGCGUAGAUAUAAGGAAGAACACCAGUGGCGGAGGCGGAUUACUGGACGAUAACUGACGGUGAGGCGCGAAAGCGUGGGAAGCAAACAGG